rnacentral:tRNA from 1 species
GUCCCUGUAGUGCAAUAAAUAGCACGUUGGACUUCUAAUACAAAGGUCGUGGGUUCGAAUCCCCCCUGGGAUG